AAAGAUCUCAUGGUAAGAGGUAGUGUUUCUUGAGGACAAGCAGAUGUCUAAGCUGGGUGUGUUUAUGAGUGGUAAUCGUACCACCCAUUCAUACAAAUUAUACACAAACACUACCAUGUUUUGUAUUAGAAAAUAAGGCAUUAUCUAGAUUUAAGUGCAAUAACACCAAAAUUUUAUAGAUAUAAAGUGAAAAGAUGAGCAUAUGUGGAAUGGAGAUA
rnacentral:lncRNA from 1 species